GACGAACGCUGGCGGCGUGCUUAACACAUGCAAGUCGAGCGGUAGGGCCCUUUUGGGGGUACGACGAGCGGCGAACGGGUGAGUAACACGUGGGUGACCUGCCCUCCAGCUCUGGGAGUAAGCCUGGGAAACGUGGGUCUAAUACCGGAUAUGCACUGCUUAUCGCAUGGUGGGUGGUGGAAAGUCCUGUUCUGUAAUGGAUUGGGGC
rnacentral:rRNA from 1 species